CCUACGGGAGGCAGCAGUAGGGAAUUUUCGGCAAUGGGGGGAACCCUGACCGAGCAACGCCGCGUGAACGAAGAAGUUAUUCGUAAUGUAAAGUUCUUUUAACAGGGAAGAAAGAGAAAUUUGACGGUACCUGAAGAAUAAGCUCCGGCUAACUACGUGCCAGCAGCCGCGGUAAUACGUAGGGAGCGAGCGUUAUCCGGAAUUAUUGGGCGAAAAGGGUGCGUAGAUGGCAUAGUAAGUCUUUUGUAAAAAUGCUGGGCUCAAACCAGUAGGGCAAAAGAUACUGCAAAGUUAGAGUAUGACAGAGGCCAGUGGAACUACAUGGGUAGCGGUAAAAUGCGUAAAUAUAUGUAAGAACACCAGUGGCGAAGGCGGCUUGCUGGGUCGAUACUGACAUUGAGGCACGAAAGCGUGGGGAGCAAACAGGAUUAGAUACCCCUGUAGUC
rnacentral:rRNA from 1 species